rnacentral:lncRNA from 1 species
UCUUGGCCUGGUUUCAUCCGUCUUCUAGUUGCUCUUUUGAUUACAUCUCAAGAGUGGUUGGAAGGAUUGAUGUUAGCGGGGCAAAUGAACAUUCGGCAUAUGAGUGGUGAUUGGAUAGCUAGUGUUUGUAGGCUCUGUGCUCGCGCACCCAACUACAGACCAACUAUCCUCCUCAGUUUCUUCACUAGCAUAGUUUAUGCUUGUUGAACUGAUCCGGG